UGCUCUUUCACUGCUGUGUACAGUGAGUGUGAAUUGAUGCAUUAAGCCACGUUAAAGGUUUUUUGUUUGUUUCUAAUCAAAUUUCAGUAUUCUCCAACUCUCACUUGAUACCUGGCUAGCCAUUACCCCAUGUAAGAUCCAGAUCUCAGGACAUUCCUCAGUCUAUAGCCUCUUGGUUUCUUCUGGCGGAUGCUGCCACCAAUUUCUAAUCCAAAACCUUAAAUCUUAAUCUUUCAAUCAGUACCCCUUCCUUCUGGAGAAAUGGGUGGGACUUUUUUUUUCUGUUUAUGAAUAUUUACUGGCUGGCCAGAGAGUGUAUUCAAUCAUAAUUGCUAUAAUGAAACUAAAAGCAACAGUUCAAUUAUUCAUAUUUACUUGUUUGAUCAUUUAGUAUGGGGGGCCCUGAUUAUGAUUGGGGUUCCUGUGCAAAGCAGCAGCAAUACAGAUAGGAGGAGACUGUCCAUCCCUCCAUGGUUUACUCAGCUCCCACUGGCCCAAGACAGGUAAGCGCCAGGCCUGGAAUGUAAAUCAGUGCGCAAAAGGGUUUGAUGUCAGUGGAUGGUCCAAAGGUCUGCCAUGUGGAUUGUAGAAUUGGGGUCUUGGUGUAGAACUUUUAAUUGAUAUUUUGUGGUGUACAACUUUUAGUUGAUAUUUUGUAGUCUACAGCAGAGAUUUCCAUGUUUUCUCAUGUUUCUGCUCCUACAGUUCCUUUCUAAUGAUCACUGUUGACUCCUGUGGUGUUGGUUGGUUGGUUGUUUUUUGCUGUCUUUAAGGUUAAUAGUUGAAUUACUAAUGCUUUCAACUAGCCAGGAAGACUAGUUAUUGUGGGCAAAAGUCACCCCUGUGUGGAGAACCCCUCACAAAACAUAUGCACCAGUUAAGUUCUCAGGUAGGAUCUUGUGCCUAGACCUUGGGUGAGUCUCUGCACAGGGGUGAAUUUCACCCUGUAACGAGAAGUUUCUAACAGUUCAUGGCCAUGGAGGCACAUUCUCCCUAGUCACUAGAUAGGAGUUGGAUGUGGAUUAGGAAGGGAAUUUAAGACUUUUGUUCAAAAGACAUUGUUCCCCUGCCCAGUGAUCUAAUGGAGAGCUGAGUCAGUACAAGGAGCUGAUACAUACUCCAUCCAGAAGAGGGCAGCAAUCCACCCACAAUCCAUUGAUGUACAGUCAUUGCAGAUGCUGAAGAAUUUAUAUAAAAACAUAGAUGUACUUUGUCUAGAGAACUCAGUGUUACCACACAGAUGUAUUUUAAAUUGUCCCAUGAGCCAUCUAAGAUAAAAUGUGUAAAAAGUGACGUUAGAAUAUAUAUAUUUAAAAAAAAUUCUUUUUAACCUAGCUAAUACCACCUAAAGUUACCAGGAAUGAAAAAUUAUAAAUAUUGUGGGAAUGCCUGAAAACUUCUACCAGGAUUGGGACUCUGAUGUGCUGGGAAUUCUGUUUCCCUUAUUUGUCAUUUUUUGCUAUUUGUUUCACUUUUUGCAUUUCUCUCCACAGAUUGUACAGACUUUUCUAUACAGACUACUCUUUAUAACUUUUUUUUCAUUGUCAGUGUAACUUUUCUUAUGCACCACCAUAUUCUUGUAGUGCAGUAUUUUCUACCAGCAAGGGAAAGGUAUUUUUCUGUUCUGUUUAGAUUUGUUCACAGAUUCCAAGGCUGAAAGGGGCAUUGUGAUCAUCUGGUUUGGCCUUCUGUAUAGCACAGACCAUAGAACUUCCCCAAAGGAGUAUAUCUUUUAGAAAAACAUCCAGCCUUGAUUUAAAAAUUGUCAGUGAUGGCGAAUCCACCACAACCUUUGAAGUUGUUCCAGUGGUUAAUUAUGCUCAUUGUUAAAAAUGUACACCUUAUCUCUAGUCUGAAUUUCUCUAACUUCAACUUCCAACCAUUGGAUUGUGUUAUACCUUUCCCAGCUAGAUUGAAGAGCCCAUUUUAAAUAUUUGUUUUCCAUGUAGGUACUUAUAGAUUGUAAUCAAGUUAACCCUUAACCUUCUCUUUGUUAGACUCAAGGAGCUCAAUCCAUUUAGCUUAUCGCUAUAAGGCAUGUUUUCUAACCCUUAAACAUUCUCACUGCUCUUCUCUGAACCCUCUCCAAUUUAUCAACAUUUUUCUUGAACUGUGGACACCAAAACUGGAGACAGCAUUCCAGCAGUGGUUGCACCAAUCCCAAAUACAGAGAGUCACUGCUUCCCAGGAUAGAGUCCUCCAUCAGGACACUGAAAAAAACCUCUGGAAGCAGAAUCUUGACCUGAUGGCAAUUUAAAUUUUCUCAGUUCUAACAAGAGACCCCUAAACAUUUCAAAUGGAGGGGUAGACCUCUUUGGAAAUCUUAGACACAUAGUCUACGGAUCUCCAGGGGUCCACAGACCACAGGUUGAAAAC